AUUGAACGCUGGCGGCAUGCCUUACACAUGCAAGUCGAACAGUAACAGGUCUUCGGAUGCUGACGAGUGGCGAACGGGUGAGUAAUACAUCGGAACGUGCCCGAUCGUGGGGGAUAACGAAGCGAAAGCUUUGCUAAUACCGCAUAAGAUCUACGGGUGAAAGCAGGGGACCGCAAGGCCUUGCGCGAACGGAGCGGCCGAUGGCAGAUUAGGUAGUUGGUGGGAUAAAAGCUUACCAAGCCGACGAUCUGUAGCUGGUCUGAGAGGACGACCAGCCACACUGGGACUGAGACACGGCCCAGACUCCUACGGGUGGCAGCAGUGGGGAAUUUUGGACAAUGGGCGAAAGCCUGAUCCAGCCAUGCCGCGUGCAGGAUGAAGGCCUUCGGGUUGUAAACUGCUUUUGUACGGAACGAAAAGACUCUGGUUAAUACCUGGGGUCCAUGACGGUACCGUAAGAAUAAGCACCGGCUAACUACGUGCCAGCAGCCGCGGUAAUACGUAGGGUGCAAGCGUUAAUCGGAAUUACUGGGCGUAAAGCGUGCGCAGGCGGUUAUAUAAGACAGAUGUGAAAUCCCCGGGCUCAACCUGGGAACUGCAUUUGUGACUGUAUAGCUAGAGUACGGCAGAGGGGGAUGGAAUUCCGCGUGUAGCAGUGAAAUGCGUAGAUAUGCGGAGGAACACCGAUGGCGAAGGCAAUCCCCUGGGCCUGUACUGACGCUCAUGCACGAAAGCGUGGGGAGCAAACGGGGUUAGGUGCCCUGGUGGUCCACGCCCUAAACGAUGUCAACUGGUUGUUGGGUCUUCCCUGACUCAGUAACGGAGCUGCCGCGUGAAGUUGCCCGCCUGGGGAGUGCGGCCGCAGGGUUGGAACUCAAGGGAAUUGACGGGGACCCGCGCAAGCGGUGGAUGGAUGUGGUUUAAUUCGCUGCAACGCGAAAGACCUUGCCCACCUUUGACAUGUACGGAAUCCUUUAGAGAUAGAGGAGUGCUUGAAAGAGAGCCGUAACACAGGUGCUGCAUGGCUGUCGUCAGCUCGUGUCGUGAGAUGUUGGGUUAAGUCCCGCGACGAGCGCAACCCUUGCCAUUAGUUGCUACGAAAGGGCUCUCUAAUGGGACUGCCGGUGACAAACCGGAGGAAGGUGGGGAUGACGUCAAGUCCUCAUGGCCCUUAUAGGUGGGGCUACACACGUCAUACAAUGGCUGGUACAGAGGGUUGCCAACCCGCGAGGGGGAGCUAAUCCCAUAAAGCCAGUCGUAGUCCGGAUCGCAGUCUGCAACUCGACUGCGUGAAGUCGGAAUCGCUAGUAAUCGCGGAUCAGAAUGUCGCGGAAAAGGGGUUCCCGGGUCU
rnacentral:rRNA from 1 species